AUAUGCUCACCUGGCGCACAGUCACAGACCCAAUCGAGCUGCUGAUCCCCUGGAUAUAGAAGCUGGUACCGCGGGCAUCGCGCCGGCGAAUAGAGCGGCUUUCGACCCUGUACAAAGAGGGAGCGGGAGAAGAGUAUUAUAGUUGGCAACAGCAGAAAGGAGAAAAAAACCAGUCUUUACAGGAGAAACUUGAUUUUCCAUAAUUGCUGUUCUUGGCGCCAUCUUUCAAGACUCGAAAUAUAUAUUUUUCGGCCCCAGGAGCAGGGACAAAGCUCGUGUCGUCUAGUCUCUCUCGACAGCUUACCGCCAAGUUAACUUUCUUCUUAUCAAUGUCCGCGUCCUCCACG